rnacentral:rRNA from 1 species
CCUACGGGAGGCAGCAGUAGGGAAUCUUCCGCAAUGGACGAAAGUCUGACGGAGCAACGCCGCGUGAACGAUGAAGGCCUUCGGGUCGUAAAGUUCUGUUGUUAGGGAAGAACAAGUGCUAGUUGAAUAAGCUGGCACCUUGACGGUACCUAACCAGAAAGCCACGGCUAACUACGUGCCAGCAGCCGCAGGGUAAUACGUAGGUGGCAAGCGUUGUCCGGAAUUAUUGGGCGUAAAGCGCGCGCAGGCGGUUUCUUAAGUCUGAUGUGAAAGCCCCCGGCUCAACCGGGGAGGGUCAUUGGAAACUGGGAAACUUGAGUGCAGAAGCAGGAAAGUGGAAUUCCAAGUGUAGCGGUGAAAUGCGUAGAGAUUUGGAGGAACACCAGUGGCGAAGGCGACUUUCUGGUCUGUAACUGACGCUGAGGCGCGAAAGCGUGGGGAGCAAACAGGAUUAGAUACCCUGGUAGUCCACGCUGUAAACGAUGAGUGCUAAGUGUUAGAGGGUUUCCGCCCUUUAGUGCUGAAGUUAACGCAUUAACACUCCGCCUGGGGAGUACGGUCGCAAGAAUGAAACUCAAAGGAAUUGACGGGGGCCCGCACAAGUGGUGGAGCAUGUGGUUUAAUUCGAAGCAACGCGAAGAACCUUAC